CUGGCUCAGGAUGAACGCUAGCGGCAGGCUUAACACAUGCAAGUCGAGGGGCAGCGGGAUGUAGCAAUACAUUGCCGGCGACCGGCGGAUGGGUGCGUAACGCGUAUGCAACCUACCUUAUACAGGGGAAUAACCUUUCGAAAGGGAGACUAACACCCCAUGGUAUUGAUUUAAGGCAUCUUAGAUUAAUUAAAUAUUUAUAGGUAUAAGAUGGGCAUGCGUAUGAUUAGCUAGUUGGUAAGGUAACGGCUUACCAAGGCGACGAUCAUUAGGGGUUCUGAGAGGAAGGUCCCCCACACUGGUACUGAGACACGGACCAGACUCCUACGGGAGGCAGCAGUGAGGAAUAUUGGUCAAUGGGCGCAAGCCUGAACCAGCCAUGCCGCGUGCAAGGAAGACGGCCUUAUGGGUUGUAAACUGUCUUUUACAUAAGACUAACCGUAUAUUUGCGAAUAUACCUGAAUGUAUUAUGAGAAUAAGGAUCGGCUAACUCCGUGCCAGCAGCCGC
rnacentral:rRNA from 1 species